AAGAUUGUCUUAUCUCAAACAUUGAGUCUUAUGAAAAUAAGCUGAAACUUAUAGAAAAUAUAUUUGUUUUGAGAUUGACAAUUUUAUUGAACAUUAUCUUCAAAUUCUAAACUCUUAAAUGGAAUGAUCAAUUGAGGGGGAGAAAGAAAAUCUCAGAAGGAGAGAUCUUAUGGAACUUAAUCGCAUAAAUCAAUAACUAAAGGAGAGAGAAAGAAUAUUAAAUGAAAAGUGAUUCUAAUACUCUCCAAUAUGUAUCAUCUGAAAUUUAAAUCUGAAAAUCUUUAUGAUACACCUUGAGGCUUGUUAAUUGGAUAAUAUAUCUUAUGCAUAAAAGAACUUUGAAGUCAUUAAGAAUUAAUGAUCCAACAUGAUGAUAUAUUUUUCAAGUAUAUAAGUUUUGAUCUUAUACUCUAAAAAUUAAUUAAAUUGCUCUCA
rnacentral:lncRNA from 1 species